GUGUCAGCAGCCGCGGUAAUACGUAGGUGGCAAGCGUUGUCCGGAUUUACUGGGCGUAAAGGGAGUGUAGGUGGAUAUUUAAGUGGGAUGUGAAAUACCCGGGCUUAACCUGGGCGCUGCAUUCCAAACUGGAUAUCUAGAGUGCAGGAGAGGAAAGGAGAAUUCCUAGUGUAGCGGUGAAAUGCGUAGAGAUUAGGAAGAAUACCAGUGGCGAAGAGGCCUUUCUGGACUGUAACUGACACUGAGGCUCGAAAGCGUGGGGAGCAAACAGGAUUAGAUACCCUGGUAGUCCACGCUGUAAACGAUGAAUACUAGGUGUAGGGGUUGUCAUGACCUCUGUGCCGCCGCUAACGCAUUAAGUAUUCCGCCUGGGGAGUACGGUCGCAAGAUUAAAACUUAAAUGAAUUGACGG
rnacentral:rRNA from 1 species